UUCCAGUACAUGGAUUNGUAGCUUCGGGAACAUUGAGACACNGUGCUGCUUGGCUGUCGUCAGCUCGUGUCGUGAGAUGUUGGGUUAAGUCCCGUAACGAGCGNNAACCCUUGUCCUUAGUUACCAGCACGUUAUGGUGGGCACUCUAAGGAGACUGCCGGUGACAAACCGGAGGAAGGUGGGGAUGACGUCAAGUCAUCAUGGCCCUUACGGCCUGGGCUACACACGUGCUACAAUGGUCGGUACAGAGGGUUGCCAAGCCGCGAGGUGGAGCUAAUCCCACAAAACCGAUCGUAGGUCCGGAUCGCAGUCUGCAACUCGACUGCGUGAAGUCGGAAUCGCUAGUAAUCGCGAAUCAGAAUGUCGCGGUGAAUACGUUCCCGGGUCUUGUACACC
rnacentral:rRNA from 1 species